CCAAACAAGUUUUUCAUCAAAUCUCUUCAUCAAGAAAGUUGUGCUAUAAUACUUAGCCAACUGCUGUAUAGGAACAUUAUGAAACUGCACAACAAGUAAAGCAAACUUUACAAAGCAACACAUAGGUAAGUAGGUAACUAACUAUUUUUUUCUUGUUGAGUCUGUGGUAUGGGUUAUACAGUUUAAUGGUAUAUCAGACUUCUAUCUCGAUGUUCGGGAGUUGUGGAG
rnacentral:lncRNA from 1 species